CCCUUAGAUGUCCGGGACUGCACGCGCGCUACACUGAAGGAAUCAGCGUGCUAAAACCAUUGUCGAAAGGCAUUGGUAAACCCAUUAAAAUCCUACGUGAUUGGGAUCGGGAAUUGCAAUUAUUUCCCUUGAACGAGGAAUUCCCAGUAAGUGUGGGUCAUAAGCUCGCGUUGAUUACGUCCCUGCCCUUUGUACACACCGCCCGUCGCUGCCCGGGACUGAGCCGUUUCGAGAAAAGCGGGGACUGCUGCUGUCGGGGCUUUCGGGCCUUGGCUUCGGUGGAAACCGCUUUAAUCGCAGUGGCUUGAACCGGGCAAAAGUCGUAACA
rnacentral:rRNA from 1 species